CCCAUGGUGUCCCAAUGGACGUCCCAAUGGAUGUCCCCGUGAUGUCCCCAUGGUGUCCCAAAGGAUGUCCCAGUGGAUGUCCCCAUGGUAUCCCAAUGGAUGUCCCCACAAUGUCCCCACAGUGUCCCCAUGGUGUCCUCGUGAGUGUCCCCAUGAUGUCCCCAUGGUGUCCCAUGGAUGUCCCCAUAGUGUCCCCAUGGUGUCCAAAUGGACAUCCCCAUGAUGUCCCCAUGGUGUCCCAAUGGUGUCCCAAUGGAUGUCCCCAUGGAUGUCCCCAUGAUGUCCCUAUAAUGUCCCCAAGG
rnacentral:lncRNA from 1 species